GACGAACGCUGGCGGCGUGCUUAACACAUGCAAGUCGAACGGAAAGGCCCUGCUUUUGUGGGGUGCUCGAGUGGCGAACGGGUGAGUAACACGUGAGUAACCUGCCCUUGACUUUGGGAUAACUUCAGGAAACUGGGGCUAAUACCGGAUAGGAGCUCCUGCUGCAUGGUGGGGGGUGGAAAGUUUCGGCGGUUGGGGAUGGACUCGCGGCUUAUCAGCUUGUUGGUGGGGUAGUGGCUUACCAAGGCUUUGACGGGUAGCCGGCCUGAGAGGGUGACCGGCCACAUUGGGACUGAGAUACGGCCCAGACUCCUACGGGAGGCAGCAGUGGGGAAUAUUGCACAAUGGGCGGAAGCCUGAUGCAGCAACGCCGCGUGCGGGAUGACGGCCUUCGGGUUGUAACCCGCUUUCGCCUGUGACGAAGCGUGAGUGACGGUAAUGGGUAAAGAAGCACCGGCUAACUACGUG
rnacentral:rRNA from 1 species